rnacentral:lncRNA from 10 species
GGAAAUUCAAUUACCAAUAAGCAUAUGAAACAUACUGAUCCUCCCUAAAUAUCAGGAAAAGUAAAAUUAAGGCAAUGAGAGAACACGUCACGCCCAUUAGAUUAGCAGGUAUUAGGAAGUUAGAUAAUAACAAGUAUGAAUGAAAAUGAUGGCAAAGGGAACUCUGAUACACUGCUGAGAGUAUAAAUUGGUGCAACUAUUUCAGAGACUAACUUACAAUAUCUAAUAUAGUUGAAGAUGUAAUAUCCAAGAACCCAGUGAUUUGGCUCCCAGAUAUUAACUUCUGGAGAAAGUUUUGCAUGUGCGUACAAGGAAACACAUACAAGAAU